rnacentral:rRNA from 1 species
GACGAACGCUGGCGGCGUGCCUAAUACAUGCAAGUGGACGCAAGGGAACACACUGUGCUUGCACACCGUGUUUUCUUGAGUCGCGAACGGGUGAGUAACGCGUAGGUAACCUGCCUAUUAGCGGGGGAUAACUAUUGGAAACGAUAGCUAAUACCGCAUAAUAUUAAUUAUUGCAUGAUAAUUGAUUGAAAGAUGCAAGCGCAUCACUAGUAGAUGGACCUGCGUUGUAUUAGCUAGUUGGUAAGGUAAGAGCUUACCAAGGCGGCGAUACAUAGCCGACCUGAGAGGGUGAUCGGCCACACUGGGACUGAGACACGGCCCAGACUCCUACGGGAGGCAGCAGUAGGGAAUCUUCGGCAAUGGACGAAAGUCUGACCGAGCAACGCCGCGUGAGUGAAGAAGGUUUUCGGAUCGUAAAGCUCUGUUGUAAGUCAAGAACGUGUGUGAGAGUGGAAAGUUCACACAGUGACGGUAGCUUACCAGAAAGGACG